rnacentral:rRNA from 1 species
UACGUAGGGAGCGAGCGUUGUCCGGAUUCAUUGGGCGUAAAGAGCUCGUAGGCGGCUUGAUAAGUCGGAUGUGAAACCUCCAGGCUCAACCUGGAGUCGCCAUCCGAUACUGUCAUGGCUAGAGUCCGGUAGGGGCCCACGGAAUUCCUGGUGUAGCGGUGAAAUGCGCAGAUAUCAGGAAGAACACCCGUGGCUAAGGCGGCUCUCUAGUACGGUACUGACGCUGAGACGCGAAAGCGUGGGGAGCGAACAGG